rnacentral:rRNA from 1 species
UACGUAGGGUCCGAGCGUUGUCCGGAAUUAUUGGGCGUAAAGGGCUUGUAGGCGGUUUGUCGCGUCGGGUGUGAAAACACGGGGCUUAACCCCGUGCCUGCUUCCGAUACGGGCAGACUAGAGGUAUGUAGGGGAGAACGGAAUUCCUGGUGUAGCGGUGAAAUGCGCAGAUAUCAGGAGGAACACCGGUGGCGAAGGCGGUUCUCUGGGCAUUACCUGACGCUGAGGAGCGAAAGUGUGGGGAGCGAACAGG